rnacentral:lncRNA from 1 species
GGCAAUUACUGAGCCAUAUUUUCAGGCCUAUUUUGUAUUUUAUUUAGAGACAGGGUCUCACUGAGUUGCUUAGCGCCUUGCCAUUGCUGAGGCUGGUUUUGAACUCAAGAUCCUGUCUCAGCCUCCAGAGCCACUGGGAUUACACCCAGCAGAAUUUUAGGAUCUUGUGAUUCCCACAUUUCUAGAAUAUGUAGUGCAUUGACACAUUAUUACCAGCUAGUUUCAUUGUUAAAUGAUACCAGUUCAUCACUGGUGAAAGUUCCCUUUGGGAACUGCUGUGUUAUGCAAGGAGUAUCUGUGCUGCAUCCCUCACCAGUGCUGAAAUCUUUAGAGCCAGCCAGGUGGGUGAGCCAGCUUCAAAAUCCCAUCUUAAUACUUGCUCUCUUAGGCCUCCCAAGUACAAACUGUCCCAAGUUGGACAGUCCUGGAGGCAGUCUUUGAGAUGUAGAUUAACCUGCAGAGACACCUUUGGAGUCACCACCUAGGAAACAGGAAAGGGAGGGAGGAGGGCAGGAUGUAGGAUGGGAGGAGAGGAAAGAAGAAUGAGGACUGGAAUGUAAGAAUGAGAACAGAAGGGAAGAAGCAAGAUUUGGGGGGGUAGGGAGACCAUGGGCUACAUACAGCCCACACUUAAGCCAAUCCCACAGAGAGCUAUAGAGCUAAAAUGGCACUUUGA